rnacentral:rRNA from 1 species
AAACCUUGCUCCCACCUGACCCACCUCCUUCCCGCAACCGACCCCCACCACCUACCCCCACGAGGCCACGACACGGCCCCCGACCACCACCACUCUUCCACCUUCUCCUUUGCGCCAACCCUCCGCCGCCGGUUCCCCCUUCCUGCGGCCCGCCGCCCCGUUACCCACCUUCUCCUCGCCGCCCAGCCACCCCAACCGACGCGCCACCAUGCCCCUGCCUUUUCUCCCCGUGCUCCCCGCCCACCUCUCUCCCUGCGCUGCCCACUUCGACAGGCACCACCGACGCCAGGAGGUCCCGCCCAGCGCCGUCGCCGGCGCCCCGCAACCUCCUUCUUCCGGCGCCCCCACUCCCACCGUCCCCACCACGUACUCCCACCGCCAAGCAACCACUGGAUCCAGUGGGAUCCGGAUCCACCUCCCCUCGUCUCCCGCUCCUCAAUCUCUCAGCCGCCGCACGGGUCCCAGCCGCCCGCCCUCCCCACGCCGCCGCGCCGGACGGCCGGAGUAGCACCGGAGGCGAGUCGCCCCUCCUCUCUCUCCUUUCCUUCUUCCUCCUCACCUCUCCCUCAUACACUUGUGCCGCAGGAGCCGUCAUGGCCAUCUGACUCAAGCUCGCCCGUCGCAGCCGCUCUGGAUCCGGCCGCCAUCAGCCAGAUCCGCUCCAGCCUGCAGUUCGCCUGGGUCGCUCGAUGAGAUGGGCGUUUUGUUGCUAUCCGGCCCCGACGACGUGCAGUACGUCAGUCGCGUUGGUGCAGCUCGCUGACGUGCGUGAAGUCCGUCGAGGGCCCUUCCUCCUUCCCUGCACGAGCACCACCGGCAAGACGUCACCAGUGCCCCCAUCCCCUUCCAUGGUGAGCUCUGGCACGACCACCCGACGAGCGGCUGCCCCCGUCCCCCACCCACAGAUCCAUCUCCUCUAGUGCUUAACAGCGAGCUCCACUGCGCGGGAUCCCCAUCACACCGGCUAGCUCUUCUCCCUUGCCCUCCUCUCCUCUCCGGCUUCAAUGUGGACAGCGACCCCCAAUUCACUUUACUGUUUUGCUAUUGUUUUCCAGAAAAUAUGUAAUUUUGCUAGAGGCUUGUUCCACAAAAAUUGUUGGGGCUUGUUUGUACAAAAAUUGUUACCUAGGUUCAGAUCAUUUUACAUGCAGUUCCCUUGGUUCCACCCCGUGCCGCCUCUGGCCACAGGGGACACGUCA